CAAAAACAACAGAGUUCUUUGGGUACAAGCAGGGCAGAACUAGAGAAAAGUCAACUAAAUAAUUGGCAUACUGUUUGAGAAGAUAGCAAAUGAUGAAGGCAUAGGGAGAAAAGCAAAUUGAUUAUCGCUUGCCUUGCAUCUAUUUUUUGCA